rnacentral:precursor_RNA from 1 species
UGGAGUGCGUGUCAGAAGUGCAUUUACAUAGGUAUUUCCCGUUUAGCAGUAUUUGUAAAUGCACUAUCUGGUACGACAUUCCAGAAUCAACAAUCAUCCAGAGAGGGGAAAACUGCUGGAAAUAAACGCUUGCAAUUAUGAUGAUUAAUUAGUUAGUUUUUCUAAGUGUGUUUUAUUUAUGAACUAAAUCGAAUGAAAUAAACAUUUUUCUCCGAAAAAAAAAAAAAAAAAAAAAAA